rnacentral:rRNA from 1 species
ACGAACGCUGGCGGCGUGCUUAACACAUGCAAGUCGAACGGAAAGGCCCUGCUUUUGUGGGGUGCUCGAGUGGCGAACGGGUGAGUAACACGUGAGUAACCUGCCCUUGACUUUGGGAUAACUUCAGGAAACUGGGGCUAAUACCGGAUAGGAGCUCCUGCUGCAUGGUGGGGGUUGGAAAGUUUCGGCGGUUGGGGAUGGACUCGCGGCUUAUCAGCUUGUUGGUGGGGUAGUGGCUUACCAAGGCUUUGACGGGUAGCCGGCCUGAGACGGUGACCGGCCACAUUGGGACUGAGCUACGGCCCAGACUCCUACGGGAGGCAGCAGUGGGGAAUAUUGCACAAUGGGCGGAAGCCUGAUGCAGCAACGCCGCGUGCGGGAUGACGGCCUUCGGGUUGUAAACCGCUUUCGCCUGUGACGAAGCGUGAGUGACGGUAAUGGGUAAAGAAGCACCGGCUAACUACGUG